rnacentral:antisense_RNA from 1 species
UGCUGACAGCGCUCUUCGGUGAGUGUCAAGCACACAAGCCCACGCGCAUGAGUAAUCAUAAAAUUAAUCGCUUCAGGCGUGAUGUGGCUUGCCGCCAUAAUCA